UACGUAGGGCGCAAGCGUUGUCCGGAAUUAUUGGGCGUAAAGAGCUCGUAGGCGGCUUGUCACGUCGAUUGUGAAAGCCCGAGGCUUAACCUCGGGUCUGCAGUCGAUACGGGCUAGCUAGAGUGCGGUAGGGGAGACUGGAAUUCCUGGUGUAGCGGUGAAAUGCGCAGAUAUCAGGAGGAACACCGGUGGCGAAGGCGGGUCUCUGGACCGUAACUGACGCUGAGGAGCGAAAGCAUGGGGAGCGAACAGG
rnacentral:rRNA from 1 species